CGCGUUAUAUAUGUGUUUUGUUUUUGUUUUGCAGUGAAAUACGCGUAUUUAACAUGUUGUUGACGUUUAAAUUCACGUGUUUUUGACCCUUUUGGCCUUCCAUAAGGGGAUUCCCGUGAGGGAAGUGCUUAGAGAAGUUUGUGAGUACAGCCAAGUUGAAGAAGAUGGUUUCAGGAUUUGAAAACAUUCACAAACCAGUUCCGUGAAUCAAACCCAUCACUUACACUUACUAGACAUUAAACUAUGGAGGAAUGUGAGCUGAGCAACAGUCCUAGACAUGAAGAACAGGUCAAACUGAAGAAAGAUAAGAAUAAUGUGGAGCAAACACGUACGGAUCUGGGUCCUUGUGUAUGCGGUUAUGACUGCUGUGUUUGUUUCCAAACCUGUGAUUGUCCUGGAUGUGAUUGUCCUGGAUGUGAUUUUUCUGCAUGCUGUGAUUGUCUUGGAUUCUGUGAUUGUUCUGAAUUUUGUGAGCUUGUGUGUUCUGGAUUCUGUGAUUGUUUUUCAUCCUGCUGCGAGUGUCUGGGAUCCAUUUUGGGAUGUUUUUGUCAGAGCCUUUUGGAUGCUUGAGUAAAUGGAUUUCAAGGGACGCCACAAAAGUCAGAAGAAAACAUCCGAUACAAAGCCAACAAACAAACAUUGGGAAAUCUUCAUUAAAUAUCAUAAUGGAAUGAUUUUUAAACUUCACAAAGAUGUUGUUGUUAUCUGUACAUUUACAAAAAUGCAACUGUAAAAUACGCUAAAACAAAUCCAACAAAAGUUGAACUUCUUCUGCAGUAAUGUCUGAUUGUAGCUUUAAAUACAAACUGCUCGAGAGUGAAGAGAAACUAAAAUGCACCAGCAUAAAAACAAGUCUCUUGAGAUUGUUGAGCCACAGAGUUUGAUGAUGUGGUUUGAAAAAUGUCAUCAGUUUUGGUUUCGUUUGGAGGAUGUUUAAUCUAAACCAGAUUUUGUUCUGUUUCAGGCAGAAGGAGAAUAGUGUGAUGAAAUUAAGCAGAAGGUUUGGUCACAUUAGAUUUUAUGCUCUUCACUUCCAUUCAUGAGAUCCUCUGGACUCUGUAAGAGUAGAUGAACUCUCACUCAGAACAGAUCAACUUUCACAGCUUAGUUCUGCUUUAGUCUGUCUUUCAUGUUCAUGCCUGUCUCAACGAGACAGCAACAGGAUAUUAACCCUUAAAGACCUAAAACAUUUUGCACGUGUACUUUUCUUUCUUUCAGACCUAUUCUAGCAGUCAGCAUCAAGCACCACAUAUCUUUAUAAACAAGAGAACUAGAACAAGAGAAAGUCCCAAUUUUCCUUUUGUUUUCUCUGAGAAUGAAUGAAUUUGCAAGAAUUUUAAGAACAACGCAAGCAACAGUUGGGUGUGUCCUGGAUUUUUUUUCUUAAGCAUUUUCUUUAGUGCUUUAUUUUUUGAAUCAGUUGGCACAUAAGGGAUAAUGCAGGGCUAGAUGUGCAUUAAACGAUUUUAAUACACAAAGUGGAGGUAAAGAACCACCUGACGUGAAGAAUUAAAAUAUCAUGGUCAUUUGCCAGCAUUGACAAAUGAGAGGAAGCAGAAGAGGGGUAAGCGCGGAGGUAUCUGGGCUAGGCUAACGGCUAACCCACACAAGCCAUCUAUCCCCACCAUCGUACUGGCUAACGUACGCUCUUUGGACAAUAAACUGGACUUCAUCCGAUUACUACGUUCA
ensembl:lncRNA